rnacentral:lncRNA from 1 species
AAAUCAUCAAUACCCCACACCCUAACGUCGCUCGGCAUUCCCUCGGUCCCACUCCCACCUCCCACCAAAAUCAAUCGCGUGAUUUCCUCCGCCUUCAUCGCCGCCUCCUUCCCACUCCGCCACUCCCUCACAUCAGCUCCUGUGGCCGCUCCCGUCUUCGCCGCCGCCGCCCGCCGGUGCCUCCCUCCACCACCACCUGGGCCCCGCCUCCUUGCCAUUCACGAACAGGAGUUUCGGCAGCCCGCCUCCUCCACGGCCGUCCAGUCUGCCGCCCUCAACGCCGAUCACGCCGUCCAGUCCGCCCGCACCCUCCGCCGCCAUCUCCAAAAGCCCUGCCGCCGCCACGAGAUCCAGGCGAGCAUGAUGGAAGACGUGGAUGCGGCUCCAGUGGUUGAUUGGGUGGCAACGAGGAUGAACCGCAGCUGACUGCACCCAUGCACAACCGCAACCAACUAGCUAAAGGGAUGUUGGGGCUUUGGUCCUUGAGAUCAUGCAUAUUGCAAGAGAAACCUAAUCUGAGUUUCAAAAGUGGAUGGUGCAGCUGUUCCGUUUGAUUGCAAAAUGCCCGAAUAGCUUUGACUUUCAAGUAAGUUUCUUUCCAAAUUCAGAACUCUAAUUUGAUAUAUGCCUUGAUUAAUAUUUGUUCAUGAUCCUCUAUGUAUCAUGCUCUGCAUUUAUGUUUGCAAC